AGUAUGGAUUUCAACUCUCAAUGAAAGCACCAAUUUGUGGAUGCAAAUUUCUCCCUCCUUGAUCUUGGACAAUUUUGCACCUACAAAACAAUUAACACCUUAGGUUAAGGCCAAGAGCCUCACGCGCCCACGAUGAAUGGGGGGGGGGGCUUUGGCCGAAGAACCUCCGAUGCCAAAGUUAGAAUUUUAGAGAGAAAAAGUGUUUAGAGUGUUUAGUAUUUUUUGCAAGAGGAUUGGAAUGAUCUUUUGGUGAAAAUGGGAAUCCAUUUAUAGGGAUAGGGGUGGCCGGCCUAGCUAGGGUUUUUUUGUUUGAUUUAGGUUUAAUUAGCCAAUUUAUUUGGCUAUUUAAACAUAAAAUGAAUGUUUUGGUGGUUUUUGGAAUUAAU
rnacentral:lncRNA from 1 species